AUUAGAAAAUAAAAAAAAAUGUUAGAAACCCUCUCCCUCUCUUCUCUUCUUCCCCAAAUCCGACCGUCGGGUUUCUAGGCCUUUGGCCGCCGUGGCUCCACCGUAGGCGGUGGUCGGCGCCCUCAAAGAUCAGGUUUUUAACCCCGUUUUCACCCCGUUCGAAGGCCGAGCCCUCUUGGCAUAAAAGGCCAAAGGAAAAGGACCUCCUUCGCCCUUUCUCGGUCCGAUUCCGGCGACCGAAGGGACUGUCGACGACGACCGCGGGUUCUGCCAGUGUUCGUAAAACCGAGGAGAAGAGAAGAAAUUACAAUAUUUUUGUUCGGACUAUAUAGCCGAUUUUUACAGUUGUAAUUAUCUAUUGUGAGAGAGGAAAAUGUACUUUACCCCGUAGUUAUACUUGAUAAAUUGUUGAAUAAAUUUAUUUUUUGAGCAAGACUUCGCAGAAGUAAGAUUGAUAAAUCCAAACUACAUUAACAAA